rnacentral:misc_RNA from 1 species
GUAACAAUUGCUUCUAUAAAUUAAUAUAGCAAGACAUGUAACUUUAAAAUUUGACUAUGGACAAAAGGCUUCCAUGCCAAAUAUACAAUUGUAAUAGAUGAAACAUAAAAAAACAAUAAUAUUAAUUAAGAGAACCAGAUUUUAUUAAUGAAAUUGUGCCAUGCUUCAAGUAAGAAAUUUUCGAUGAACGUUCGUCAGUAGAGCAAAGGGCCGAUUCCCCAGUUUUAUGAUAAAAACUUGGCCAGUGUAAGACCUCUAAGAUAUUACCUUCAAGUAUGCCUCUUUCAG